CUAGGUCAUAUGAUGGUCACAAGUGCAUAGUUCAGAAGAUCAAACCGUGAUUACUUGAAAUAUAAGUCUUUAGCUCCUACCUCCCAACUUCU